AUGCAAGUCGAACGGUAGAAAGGUGCUUGCACCUUUUGAGAGUGGCGGACGGGUGAGUAACACGUAGGUAAUCUACCUAGAAGUUGGGGAUAGCCUGUGGAAACACAGGGUAAUACCGAAUGAGACCAUGUAAAUGGUGAAAGAGGCUAAGGCCUCGCUUUUAGUUGAGCCUGCGGCUCAUUAGCUAGUUGGUGGGGUAACGGCCUACCAAGGCGACGAUGAGUAGCCGGCCUGAGAGGGCGACCGGUCACACUGGGACUGAGACACGGCCCAGACUCCUACGGGAGGCAGCAGCUAAGAAUCUUCCGCAAUGGUCGAAAGGCUGACGGAGCGACGCCGCGUGGACGAAGAAGGCCGGAAGGUUGUAAAGUCCUUUUCUCAGAGAAGAAUAAUGUGGGAGGGAAUGCCCUACAGAUGACGUUAUCUGAGGAAGAAGCCCCGGCUAAUUACGUGCCAGCAGACGAGGUAACACGUAAGGGGCAAGCGUUGUUCGGAAUUAUUGGGCGUAAAGGGCACAUAGGCAGCUGAGCAAGCCUGGUGUGAAAGGACACAGAUUAACUGUGGGAGUGCGCUGGGAA
rnacentral:rRNA from 1 species